UACGUAGGGGGCAAGCGUUAUCCGGAUUUACUGGGUGUGAAGGGAGCGUAGACGGUUAUGCAAGUCAGAAGUGAAAGCCCAAAGCUCAACUUCGGGACUGCUUUUGAAACUGUGUAACUAGAGUGCAGGAGGGGUAAGCGGAAUUCCUAGUGUAGCGGUGAAAUGCGUAGAUAUUAGGAGGAACACCGGCGGCGAAGGCGGCUUACUGGACUGUAACUGACGUUGAGGCUCGAAAGCGUGGGGAGCAAACAGG
rnacentral:rRNA from 1 species